AACUUAGUAACUUCAUGAGGCGGAAGUCAGUUCAUAACUUCAUGGCAAUUAUUGAAUUGCCAUGAAGUUAUGAACUGACUUCCGUUUAUGUCUAUUCU
rnacentral:pre_miRNA from 1 species